UUGACCUGACCGCAAUUGGUUGACUCUGCAUUUACACCAUCUCACGACCCUGAACCGGUUUUGGUGCUCUUUUAAUAUGUCUUUAUCAAAUGCAUACUUAUAUAUAUAUUUGGUUGCUUUCUUUGACGGUCAUAAAUCAUAAUAUUUGUUUUAUUAAAUCAUAGUAGUGAGGUGUUCAAAAAGAAAAUAAAAAAAUAAAAAAUCAUAGUAGUGAAUUCUUAUUUAUAAGAGCAUCUCCAAAGGGAGAUGCCUAUUUUGAAGUGUUAAACAAAUUUUUAUUAAAUUUAAUGAUUAAUUUGAAUUUGUUGAACUCUUAAAAAAUAAUUGAUUUUUCUUCUUCCAAUGGUGAACUCUAAUAAAGUGUUUUCUUCAAGUUGGCUAUUGGAAUUUGGGAAUCGUCUCUUUUCAUUUGCAUUAUCACAAAGCUUCUGUUUCUAGCUUCUUUGGUGUUUUAUUAUAUCUGUGACGAGGGAUACGGUGUAUGAACACUAAUCGUUUUUGUUAUCUCUGUAUUUUGUUACGAGGGAUAUGAUGUUUGUCUGACGAAAUCAAAAUAUAUUGAAUGGCUUUGUUUGUCUCUGUUUCUCUUCCCAGACCAAGAAUGCAAAACCUUUUUUUUUCUUUUUCCUUCUUUACAAUUAUAAACCAAUAAUAACGUGACACGUGGCUUUAAGGAGUGGCCCUUAAACUUGUUAAUUUAGCAUCGCUCCUAAACAUUAAACCAUUUAUUGAUUUAUUUUUAAUCACCCAAAAUCUUUAUCACCUCCAUAAUUUUUAUUAAACAUCUCCCUUUGGAGAUGGUCUAAAGAUGUUUGGACCACUGAAAAUCGAUUUAACCACAACUUUUCUUAAUCAUUUUAACUUUUGCACUAUCAUAAUCGUAAACAUAUACAUUAUUUAAAGUUUAGUGACC
rnacentral:lncRNA from 1 species